rnacentral:rRNA from 1 species
GAAUUUAAUAUAUAUUUUAUUAGAUUGAUUGAUAUAUAUAAAUUAAGUUAUAUAGUAAAAAUAUAUUUAGUUGGGAGGAUUAUUAAAUUUAAUAAACUUUAAUUUUUAUAAAAAUAUAAAUUAGUGGAAUAAAGUGAGUGAUUAGUAAAUUAAAUAAGAAUUAAUUACCUUAGGGAUAACAGCAUAAUAUUUUUAGAAAGUUCAUAUUAAUAGGAGUGUUUGU